rnacentral:tRNA from 1 species
GAGGGUAUAGCUCAAGUGGCAGAGUGCAUGCUCAGCAGGCACAAGGUCCUGGGUUUAAUUCCUAGUACCUCCA